rnacentral:tRNA from 1 species
UCGGGAUAGCUCAGCCGGUAGAGCAGAGGACUG